GCGUGAGUGAAGAAGGCCUUAGGGUUGUAAAGCUCUUUCGACGGGGAAGAUGAUGACGGUACCCGUAGAAGAAGCCCCGGCUAACUCCGUGCCAGCAGCCGCGGUAAUACGGAGGGGGCUAGCGUUGUUCGGAAUUACUGGGCGUAAAGCGCACGUAGGCGGUUUGGCCAGUCAGAGGUGAAAUCCCCAGGCUCAACCUGGGAAUUGCCUUUGAUACUGCCUGACUAGAGUCCGGGAGAGGGUAGUGGAAUUCCCAGUGUAGAGGUGAAAUUCGU
rnacentral:rRNA from 1 species